GAUUCAUUUGAAUGAUAC
rnacentral:snRNA from 1 species